rnacentral:rRNA from 1 species
UUUCUUUAGAUAUAUUUUAAAGGUAAUACCUGCUCAAUGAAUAUUAAAUUGCCGCAGUAUUAUGACUGUGCUAAGGUAGCAUAAUAAUUUGUCUUUUAAAUGGGGACUGGAAUGAAAGGUUUUAUGGGGGUGUGUUAAUGAUUUAAUAAAUCUUUGAAGUUAAGGUUUGAGUUAAAAUUCUUAAAUUUAUUUGAGGGACGAGAAGACCCUGUGGAUCUUUAUUUUGUUUAUAAUAAAUUAUUAUAAAUGUUUUAUUAUCUUAAAAAUUUGAUUGGGACGAUUAUUAUUUUAACAUAAUUUUAAGAAUUUAUUUUGAUCCUUGUGAAGGAAUUAAGAUUAAGUUACCCCAGGGAUAACAGCGUUAUAUUAUUGGAUAGUUCAUAUUGAUAAUAAUGUUUGCGACCUCGAUGUUGAAUUAAAAUUUCUUUUUAAAGCAGAAGUUAAAU